rnacentral:rRNA from 1 species
UCAGAUUGAACGCUGGCGGCAGGCCUAACACAUGCAAGUCGAACGGUAGCACAGAGAGCUUGCUCUCGGGUGACGAGUGGCGGACGGGUGAGUAAUGUCUGGGAAACUGCCUGAUGGAGGGGGAUAACUACUGGAAACGGUAGCUAAUACCGCAUAACGUCGCAAGACCAAAGAGGGGGACCUUCGGGCCUCUUGCCAUCAGAUGUGCCCAGAUGGGAUUAGCUAGUAUGUGGGGUAACGGCUCACCUAGGCGACGAUCCCCAGCUGGUCUGAGAGGAUGACCAGCCACACUGGAACUGAGACACGGUCCAGACUCCUACGGGAGGCAGCAGUGGGGAAUAUUGCACAAUGGGCGCAAGCCUGAUGCAGCCAUGCCGCGUGUGUGAAGAAGGCCUUCGGGUUGUAAAGCACUUUCAGCGAGGAGGAAGGUGGUGAGCUUAAUACGCUCAUCAAUUGACGUUACUCGCAGAAGAAGCACCGGCUAACUCCGUGCCAGCAGCCGCGGUAAUACGGAGGGUGCAAGCGUUAAUCGGAAUUACUGGGCGUAAAGCGCACGCAGGCGGUUUGUUAAGUCAGAUGUGAAAUCCCCGG